rnacentral:lncRNA from 1 species
CCGCCGCAGCCCAGCCCCGCCCCGCGCCCCCUGCCGGCCUGUCCCCGCCAGUGAGUAAGCUUCGGACCCCCGCCAGGGAGGGGUCUCCAGACGCCCCAUCGAAGCUCCCGGAUUCGACUCGACCCGCGCGCCGGUCUUACCUCCCAGUCCGGAGACGGCCGUUUUUGACACAAGCUGGGGCCCUGCCCCACUCCCUGCUGGCAGCUCGCAGCCGCUUCAGGCAUGCAGGGAUGCCCAGAGCAUCAAUGAUUGAUGCCUCCUUGCAGCAGCCACAGCAGCCUGAGUGCCUGCUCUAGGCCUGGCGCCCUCCUCCACUCACCCCAAGGACUCAGGUCGGAGGACGCCAGAGGAGCAGGACACCAAGGUGUUUCCCAGGGUGAGGGACCCCUCCCCAUCACUCAGCAGGUGAGGCUGGGAGGCCCAGGAUACUGUGGGGCUCUGGGCGGAGUGGAGGCCAGCUGCUUCCAGGAUACAGGCUUGGCUGCCCUCACCCCCAUUCAGCAGGGCUGGGGCUCAGGGAUGGACUGAGGUGACCUGAGGAGCCCGGGAGGGCCACAUGGGCUCUUUCUCCUGACCACACUGCACCCACCCCCUCCAUGGCCCCUGGGGGAAUCGUGGCCUGUGUCCCCUGCACCCCCACUUUAAUGGGGACCUGCCUCCUCUGGCCAGUCUCCCCCAGCAGGUGAAGCCUUUUACACUUGAACAGCUGUCUGCCCUACCCCUGAUCCGGAGGCUUGGCCUCAGCUCAUGCCCCAUGUCCUGCCCAGUCUGCCCAGACAAUGGCCUGAGGAACCAGGGGCCACUGGCAGCUACUCGUGCUGUCCCCACCCCCUCCUGCAGCCAGGGCUGGGCACCCAAUGUUGGGGUCACCUCUGCCGCCUCCUCUGAGUCUUGGCUCCCCCAGCACCUCCUUGGUGGGAUAGCCAGGGGUCACUCAGGAAUCAGUUUCCAGUGGCUGCUGUAACAAAGAACAGCAAACGCAGUGGCUUAAACCAACACAAUUUCUUCUCUUACAGUCUCGGGUGUCAGGAGGGCUGCGCUCCUUCUGGAGGUUUCAGGGCAGAUCCUUCUUGCUCAUUUCAGCUUCUAGAGGCCACCUGUGUUCCUUGGCUCAUGGCCCUGCAUCAGUUGACCUCUGCUUCCAUCUUUCCAUCUUCUCUCUCCAACUCUGAGCCUCCUGCCUCCCCCUUGGAGGGGCCCUUGUGAUUACACUGGGCUCAGUGGCCUAACACAGGACCAUCUCCUCAUCUCAAGAGCUUUAACUUACUCACAUCUAUAAGGGCCCUUUGCCUUGUAAGGCCCCACAUUCACAGGUCCUGGGGAUCAGGAGGCAGACAGCUUUGGCAAGA